UACGGUCAUAUAAUGUUGAAAAACCGGUUCUCAUUCGAUCAGCGAAGUUAAGCGACCUUACGCCUGGCUAGUACCUUAAUGGGUGACCU